GACGAACGCUGGCGGCGUGCUUAACACAUGCAAGUCGAACGGAAAGGCCCUGCUUUUGUGGGGUGCUCGAUUGGCGAACGCGUGAGUAACACGUGAGCAUCCCGCCCUUGACUUUGGGAUAACUUCAGGAAACUGGGGCUAUUACCGGAUAGGAUCUACUGAUGCACGGUGGGGGUUGGAAAGAUUCGGCGGUUGGGGCUGGUCUCGCGGCUUAUCAGCUUGUUGGGUGGGUAGUGUCUUACCAAGGGUUUGACGGGUAGCCUGCCUGAGAGGCUUACCUGCGACAUUGCUCCUGAGGUACGCCCCAGACUCCUACGGGAGGCAGCAGUGGGUAAUAUUGCACAAUGGGCGCAAGCCUGAUACAGCGACUCCGCGUGCGGGAUGCCGGCCUUCUGGUUGUAAACCACUUUCGCCUGUGACGAAGCGUGAGUGACGGUAAUGGGUAAAGAAGCACCGGCUAACUACGUG
rnacentral:rRNA from 1 species